UACGAAGGGGGCAAGCGUUGUUCGGAAUUACUGGGCGUAAGGGCGCGUAGGCGGCUAUCAAGUCAGGCGUGAAAUUCCCGGGCUCAACCUGGGGGCUGCGCUUGAUACUGAUGAGCUUGAAUGCGGGAGAGGAUAGUGGAAUUCCCAGUGUAGAGGUGGAAAAUUCGUAGAUAUUGGGAAGAACACCGGUGGCGAAGGCGGCUAUCUGGCCCGUAAUUGACGC
rnacentral:rRNA from 1 species